AUUGAACGCUGGCGGCAGGCCUAACACAUGCAAGUCGAGCGAGCGGCGGACGGGUGAGUAAUGCCUGGGAAUUGCCCAGUCGAGGGGGAAAACAGUGGGAAACGACUGCUAAUACCGCAUACGACUGGAUCGCACAGGUGGGGUUAGCUAGUGGGUGAGGUAAUGGCUCACCAAGGCGACGAUCCCUAGCUGGUCUGAGAGGAUGAUCAGCCACACUGGAACUGAGACACGGUCCAGACGCCUACGGGAGGCAGCAGUGGGGAAUAUUGCACAAGGGGGGCAACCCUGAUGCAGCCAUGCCGCGUGUGUGAAGAAGGCCUUCGGGUUGUAAAGCACUUUCAGCGAGGAGGCGUUACUCGCAGAAGAAGCACCGGCUAACUCCGUGCCAGCCGCCGCGGUAAUUC
rnacentral:rRNA from 1 species